rnacentral:rRNA from 1 species
ACGGAGGAAGGUGGGGAUGACGUCAAAUCAUCAUGCCCCUUAUGACCUGGGCUACAAACGUGAUACAAUGGCUGGAACAAAGGGAUGCGAAGCAGUGAUGUGGAGCGAAACCCAUAAAAACAGUCUCAGUUCGGAUUGAAGUCUGCAACUCGACUUCAUGAAGUCGGAAUCGCUAGUAAUCGCGGAUCAGAACGCCGCGGUGAAUACGUUCUCGGGGUUU